GUGAGGAAUAGCAAGGAUACAUGCGUGUCCUUGGUUCUAAGAGUAAUAGAUGAGAGGGAGAGGGGGAGGGGAAGGGGGAAAUGGAAGGGAGGGAGGAGAAGGAGGGAGAGAGACAGACAAAUAAACAAAGACAGACACAGAAACAGAGACAGAGACAGACAGACAGAGAGGGAGGGAAGGACAGAGACAGAGACACAGAGAGACACAGAGAGAGACAGAGACUAAGAAGGAAAUAGAGACAGGCAGAGAGAGAGACAGACAGACAGACAGACUGGGAGAGAAAGAGGGAGGGAGAGAAAGAGGGAGGGAGAGAGGAAAAAAGAGACAGAGAGACUGAGAGAGACUGACAGAGAGAGAGAGGAGAGACCGUGACAUGAUCAGCCUUGUGUGCAAUCUUAAAAUUCAUUUAACAACUGAGUAGAGGAUUGAUUGGAGUGGGAAGAGAUUUGCGGCAGGCUAUGGCAGGCAGCCCUCCAGAAGGCAAAUGGGAUCCUUGGCUGUGAGGUACUGAGGUCUCAGGGUCAGAGGAAGGGGUAUAUAUGAAAAAUAGCCAGCAGAACUUGACGACAGAUUGGAUAGGGAAGGUGAAAUGAAAGGGCUGGACCAAUCUCCUCCGAGCUAAGACAAGGAUGUUGUCAGUGUCCGAGAAGCGGAGGGUGGAAAGUUUCAAGAAGGAAGCGGGGAUCCACCACAGCCGCCAAGACUGUCAAACGUCUGGGAGAAUCAGGACUAAG